rnacentral:rRNA from 1 species
AAAACUCAAAUGAAUUGACGGGGGCCCGCACAAGCGGUGGAGCAUGUGGUUUAAUUCGAUGCAACGCGAAGAACCUUACCUACUCUUGACAUCCAGAGAACUUAGCAGAGAUGCUUUGGUGCCUUCGGGAACUCUGAGACAGGUGCUGCAUGGCUGUCGUCAGCUCGUGUUGUGAAAUGUUGGGUUAAGUCCCGCAACGAGCGCAACCCUUAUCCUUU